UAGUGACUGUGUGUCGGGACACUCUACACCGUUGCACUACGGUGGGAUUAUCAAACACACUGACGAACUGUUCAGGAGCUUUUGAGUGACAGCAGGAUGAUGACUGCGGUGGCUCUGCUGUGCCUGGCUGCUCUGUGUGCAGCACGGAAGAGGACUGAACAGAACUCAGAAUGGGACAACAGCACAGAGGCAGAGAAGGUGAAUACUAGAGGCUGUGUCAACCUCACCCUGGUGUUGGACAACCUAGAGGUUUUACUAUCAUGAACCAAGUCAAAGACCUUCUCCUCAACGACCACAGCUCUGUGCUGCCUGACUACGGGAGUUGGGAUCCCUCCUCUACCAGGAUCCCUCCUCUACCAGGAUCCCUCCUCUACCAGGAUCCCUCCUCCACCAGGAUCCCUCUUCUACCAGGAUCCCUCCUCCACCAGGAUCCC